rnacentral:lncRNA from 1 species
ACCGCUGCGAGUCUCACUCUGUCUGCGAGGGGGACCGGUAACCUGAGGAUGCCCUGAACCAAACGGUGGCUUGAACGGAGACCGCGCGGUCGCAGCUGUCCGUCUGAAUGCUGACGGCCGCCUGGAGCAGGUGGAAAUUGUGCAGAUGGAAAGAUGUCAGCUCGCGGGAGGAGCAAGUCUGGCAGGGGUCGGAGGUGGCCCAAGAUACAGUAAUUCACUAUCCUGCGUCAAACGCCUGGAAGUGCUGGCAUGGAGUGAGGACAGGACAUCUGCUCCCUGGGGCUGGGCACAUGCCAUCAGACUGAAAGGAGGCCCACCGAGAAUGGUGUCAGAUUAUAGCCUGGAUGAUGCCUCUCCAGAUAAGGGACAGGAAGAUCUUUCUCUGGAGAAACUGAAACACCAACUGGGGAUCCCCAACAAAAAUAGGUCCAACUUCUCCAUUGUCCUUCCACCAGUCUACAGCUCUGCCUGCCCUGAGAACUUCCAAUCAGCAUUUGGGUGCUUCACCCUCCAAUAGAGAGAGACACACAAGGAUCGUCAGAAGGUAAGGAGUGCUAGAAGGAAAAGGCUAAAUCAAGAGGAAAUAGCAAAUAAGGGGGUACCUGACUAAGCGUCGACUCUUGAUUUCGGCUCAGGUCAUGGUGUCUGGGUUGUGGGAUUGAGCCCUGCUUCAGGCUCUGUGCUGAGUGUGGAUCCUGCUUGAGAUUCUCACUCUCUCCCUCUCUGCCCCUCUCCCCUUCCCCUGCUCACACUCUCUCUCAUCCUCUCUCUUUAAAAAAAAAGAAAGAACAAAUAAGUAGAAAAGGGGGUG